CAGAGUUUCGCUCUUUUUGACCAAGCUGGAGUGCAAUGGCGUGAUUUCGGCUUGCUGCAAUCUCUGCCUCCCAGGUUCAAGUGAUUCUCCUGCCUCAGCCUUCUGAGUAGUUGGGAUUACAGGUGGCUUUUCUACAAUAUAAAGAUGGAAAUGGGAUGAUGUUCAUUGCAAAUUAGGGAAGCUCUUCCACGAGUUCACGAAUGGAAAUAACAUCAAGAGUUUUUCAUCUUCUUAGUGUGCAAGGUA
rnacentral:antisense_RNA from 1 species